AUGUUAUUAUUGUUGAGGGAAUUUGCACUAGUGAAAGUAUGCACCCUAGGCCUUGUUUCAACGCAUUGCAAUACUGUUUGUGCUCACUUUUAUCAUUGGUUACCUUGCUGUUUUUAUAUUUUCAGAUUACAAAAACAUUUAUCUACCAUCCAUAUACCACUUGUAUCACCAUCUCUUCAUCGAACUAGUGCACCUAUACAAUUUACCAUUGUAUUGGGUGUGUUGGGGACACAAGAGACUUUUUGUUAUUUGGUUGCGGGGUUGCUUGAGAGAGAGACCAUCUUCACCCUACGCCUCCUAUGGAUUGAUAAACCUUAG
rnacentral:rRNA from 1 species